CCUGCUAGAAGUGGGGCCCAUUCAUGGGGGACGUGGACAGGACAAUGACUCGUUGGCCCGACCGCUCUUCUCUUAAUGCCUCCAGGAGCUCUCCAAGAAAGGCCCUCGCAGAGGACGUGGGACUGUGACGAUCCGUGGAGGUCUUUAUGUCACUUCUUCAGCCCAAAGUAAAAGGAUAGUGUUCCGA